AACGAACGCUGGCGGCAUGCCUAACACAUGCAAGUCGAACGAGACCUUCGGGUCUAGUGGCGCACGGGUGCGUAACGCGUGGGAAUCUGCCCCUUGGUUCGGAAUAACUUCGGGAAACUGAAGCUAAUACCGGAUAAUGACGUAAGUCCAAAGAUUUAUCGCCAAGGGAUGAGCCCGCGUAGGAUUAGCUAGUUGGUGGGGUAAAGGCUCACCAAGGCGACGAUCCUUAGCUGGUCUGAGAGGAUGAUCAGCCACACUGGGACUGAGACACGGCCCAGACUCCUACGGGAGGCAGCAGUGGGGAAUAUUGGACAAUGGGGCGAAAGCCUGAUCCAGCAAUGCCGCGUGAGUGAUGAAGGCCUUAGGGUUGUAAAGCUCUUUUACCCGGGAAGAUAAUGACUGUACCGGGAGAAUAAGCCCCGGCUAACUCCGUGCCAGCAGCCGCGGUAAU
rnacentral:rRNA from 1 species